ACUCCUACGGGAGGCAGCAGUGGGAAGUAUUGCACAAUGGGGGAAACCCUGAUGCAGCCAUGCCGCGUGUGUGAAGAAGGCCUUGGGUUGUAAAGCACUUUCAGUAGGGAGGAAGGUAGUGUAGUUAACACCUGCAUUAUUUGACGUUACCUACAGAAGAAGCACCGGCUAACUCCGUGCCAGCAGCCGCGGUAAUACGGAGGGUGCGAGCGUUAAUCGGAAUUACUGGGCGUAAAGCGCAUGCAGGCGGCCUGUUAAGUCAGAUGUGAAAGCCCGGGGCUUAACCUCGGAAUUGCAUUUGAAACUGGCAGGCUAGAGUCUUGUAGAGGGGUUAGAAUUUCAGGUGUAGCGGUGAAAUGCGUAGAGAUCUGAAGGAAUACCAGUGGCGAAGGCGGCCCCUGGACAAAGACUGACGCUCAGAUGCGAAAGCGUGGGAGCAAACAGGAUUAGAUACCCCUGGUAGACUGUCA
rnacentral:rRNA from 1 species